GCUGGUGUGGCAUAGUGGUUUGAGCACUGGACUACAACUCUGGAGAUCAGGGUUUGAUUCCUUACUUGUGCA